rnacentral:tRNA from 2 species
GCCGCUGUGGCGGAAUUGGCAGACGCGCAGCAUUCAGGGUGCUGUUUCCUUCGGGAAGUACAGGUUCGACCCCUGCCAGCGGCACUA